rnacentral:rRNA from 6 species
GCGGUGCUCUUCAUUGAGUGUCGAGGUGGGCCGGCACGUUUACUUUGAACAAAUCUGAGUGCUUAAAGCAGGCCAAGGUGCCUGAAAGGUAGUGCAUGGAAUAAUGGAAAAGGACCUCGGUUCUAUUUUUGUUGGUUUUCGGAACCAGAGGUAAUGAUAAAUGGAGGCAGGCGGGGGCAUUUGUAUUGCAACGUUAGAGGUGAAAUUCUUGGAUCGUUGCAAGACAGACCGCAGCGAAAGCAUUUGCCAAGGAUGCUCUCGUUAAUCAAGAACGAAAGUUAGAGGUUCGAAGGCGAUCAGAUACCGCCCUAGUUCUAACCAUAAACUUAUGCCAGCUAGCGAUCUCACAAUGCUCCAUUGAUGGCUUGUGAGGCAGCUUCCGGGAAACCAAAGCUUUUGGGUUCCGGGGGAAGUAUGGUUGCAAAGCUGAAACUUAAAGGAAUUGACGGAAGGGCACCACCAGGAGUGGAGCCUGCGGCUUAAUUUGACUCAACACGGGAAACCUCACCAGGCCCAGACACUGGAAGGAUUGACAGAUUGAGAGCUCUUUCUUGAUUCAGUGGGUGGUGGUGCAUGGCCGUUCUUAGUUGGUGGAGCGAUUUGUCUGCUUAAUUGCGAUAACGAACGAGACUCUAGCCUGCUAAAUAGUCGUUUCCGGCUUCCUUUGUGCAGCCGGCGAAGACAAAUCUUCUUAGAGGGACAGGCGGCUUUUAGUCGCACGAGAUUGAGCAAUAACAGGUCUGUGAUGCCCUUAGAUGUUCUGGGCCGCACGCGCGCUACAAUGGAGGUAUCAACGUGUCCUCCCUGGCCGAAAGGUCCGGGUAACCCGCUGAACCACCUCCGUGCUUGGGAUUGGGGCUUGAAAUUGUUCCCCAUGAACGAGGAAUUCCCAGUAAAGGCGUGUCAUUAGCACGCCUUGAUUACGUCCCUGCCCUUUGUACACACCGCCCGUCGCUACUACCGAUUGAAUGAUUUAGUGAGGUCUUCGGACUGGCGCGCGGUGAUCUCUCGGGAUCGCCGAUGUCGCCGGAAAGAUGCCCAAACUUGCUCA